CCCAGGCAAUAAUAGUAUGAAACGAGGAUCAAUCUUUAAUCCAUUUGUGCAGUAGGCACAAUAAUCACCUUUCCUUUCUGAAUCCAGUUGGCUUCUGCACUUAUCAGAGCACCUGUUGCUGCCCCGUGGUGGCACAGGGGUCACCACAGCAGAGCCCCUCUCCUUCCCCUCAAAAAUACUCACCUGAUCUGUGUCUUGGCAAGUCCCUGCUCUCUUCCUUCCGAAGUUAAAACAACAGAGGAUUUUUAAGGCUUAAAAAUGAUUUAUAUAUGAAACUCUUUUUCAAGUCAAUAACAGAAACAACGAAGAUUUACAGAAAGUGAUUAUUAUGAAGGUACAAGCUAAAGAGCAUGCUUCUGGAUCUGGAUCCUGGGAAACAAGGAUACAUGACACACAGAAAGAUUAAAGGAAAAAGAGAAGAGAAUGUAAAGACAAAAGAGGGAUACAAGAUGAAGAGUUUUCUCUCUACAGGAUCUGAAUAACUUUCUUCAGUAGGGUGUUUCUUUAUCUACUUAACCUUCAGAGAAAUCAAGUCCAAGAUCACACAAUAAGUGGCAAAAUCCAAAGUUGAACCCAGUGUUUUUCCCCCAACCCCAGCAGCUUCCAUUUGAAGAGGGAAAUCAUUUGAGAGACUAUGAUACACGAUGAAGAGAAGCAGGGAAUCUGCAGAGGCUGUUUAUACGCUCUAUUGAAUAGAGGUCACCCUCAUCAUUGCUGAUUCAAGACAUGGAAGCUGAAGCUGUAAUCAGAUUGGGGCUCAGAAGAAUCCCACAGUUCCAGAAGUCAUUUUAAGAACACUUAGAAAACCCUUGGAAUUCCUCUUCAGGGAGUUUUUAGACCUGCCAAGCCUGCUUUGGAAACCAAAACGUCCUUCUUGCAUCUUUUUAUCUCAGGAAAAAGGUACUUCCUAUGCCAAUUCAAGACCAUGGACCUGAAUCUUAGGGUAAUCAUCCCUUCAAGAAAAGUGAAGUGGGCCAGACGAGGUGGCUCACACCUGUAAUCCCAGCACUAUGGGAAGCCGUUCACUUGAGGUCAGGAGUUCAAGACCAGCCUGGCCAACACGGUGAAACCCCAUCUCUACUAAAAAUACAAAAAGUAGCCAAAUGUGAUGGUGCAUGCCUGUAAUCCCAACUACUCAGGCUGAAGAAGAAGAAUCGCUUAAACCCAGGAGGUGAAGGUUGCAGUGAGCCAAGAUGACACCACUGCACUCCAGCCUGGGUGACAGAGCAAGACUCUGUCAAAAAAAAGAAAGAAAGAAAGAAAGAUGAAGUGACAACAUUUAAAAUUAAUAAAUUUGAAGAAAAAAUUAAGACCAACAAGUAAACAAGAUAAUCAAAGGAAUCUGAAAUCACAACUGAAGUAAAGCAAUAUUAUUUGAAAUUCUUGUACAGCUAACAGGACUUUUGACUAUUGCACAAGAAUAAUCUCAGGAUAAUUAUAUAACAGAGAGAAGGGAAGAUUUUGCAUUCCAGAUUAAAGCUCUGGAAACUAGAAAGGGAGCAUGACAAAAAGGAUGAUAUACCUGAGAGAUACAAACAUGAUUUUUAAAAGUAAACAUAAAAUUUAAAAGGGAUGAAGUAAAGGAAGGAGGAAGAGAGAAGCAACGGAGAAAAGGAAGGAGGAAGAAAAGUAGAUAAAUGAACAUUACUUUCAAAUAAUACUGGAAGCAAAUACAUGGACCAACGCUUUCAUAUUUCCAGGGCUUCAUAUGUGAAGUUAGUACUCCUAUAUUUAUAGGUAUAUACAAAUUCUGAACUUGUUUCUAGGCACCAUUUUUGUCUAUUACAAAAGUGGCAAAUAUGUGCCAACUCUUUUUUUUUUAUGUACUUUAAGUUCUAGGGUACAUGUGCACAACAUGCAGGUUUGUUACAUAUGUAUACUAUGUAUAUAUGUGCCAUGUUGAUUUGCUGCACCCAUUAACUCUUCAUUUACAUUAGGUAUUUAUCCUAAUGCUAUACCUCCCCCCUCCCCUCAUCCCACGACAGGCCCUGGUGUGUGAUGUGCCAACUCUAUCUGGAUUAUCAGGUUGAGUAAGAUAGUAAUGUUGAAUUCUACUUUGGUAAACAACAGUGAGGGUAGAGGUGGAGUUGGACAUAAUAGGCAUUCCAUUAACUUUUGGUUCAUCCUAUGAUGGGACACAUAGGCAAGAUGACAGACUGAGGUUAGAAAUUCAGUCUGCAGUCGUGGUUGGUGAUUUUGUAUGAAGAUAAAUCAUCCCCAUAGAUAUCUGUCUCUUUAGCCUCAUACUGACACUGAGCUGGUGGUUUUCUUCCUGUAAUAAUGAUUGAUAAGACAGAUUUACAGACAUAUUAAGUCAGCCACCAUUUCAGAAACAAACUCCUCUUCUUUAUGUGCACUACAGCAGUGAUUCCCAACUUGGAAUGACAUAGGGGAGAGAGAUCCAGGAGAAUUACCUGGAGAGCAUCAUCAUCACCUAUAGCUGAAAAACUGCUCCUAACCCUCUAAAUUCCUAGAGAUCAAGGCUCUUCCAUUUGCAUGACUACAUUAUGACAGAGUGCCCUAAAGGAAAUUGCAAAACUCAAGACUCAUAGCAAGAAUUCUUUUUUCUGUUUUAGAAAUAUUUUUUAAAAGAAUAUGUAUUAGCUACACUCAAUAUUAUAUAAAAAAGCCCUAUAAUUUAGACAAGGAGUGGGCACAGAGUGAUACUGGGUUGUCUGAGUCCAUUUUGUACUGCUACUACAGAAUAUCUGAAACUAGGUAAGUUAUAAUGAACAGAAAUUUAUUGGUUCAUGAUUCUAGAGGCUGGAAAAUUCGAGACUGGGGGCUGGCACCUUGCAAGGGCCAUCUUGCUGCAUCACCCCAGAGCAGGACAAAGAGAGGGCAAGAGAGAGAAGCAAAAGGAGGCUGAACUUGUUGUUUUAUAAGGGACCCACUCUGUGACAGUGACAAUCUAUUCAUGACAGAGCUCUUAUGGCCUAAUCACCUCUUAAAGUUGCCACCUCUUAAUAUUCUUACAGUGGCAAUUACAUUUCAACAUGACUUUUGGAGGGAAUGAACAUUCAAAUCAUAGCAGGACUUCCCCCUAGCUGUACAUUAGAAUCUCCUAGGAAGCUUUUAAAAUACAUUCAUGCCUAGUCUUUAUCCCAAACCAAUUUAAUCAAAUAUCAUGAGUGAGCUCUAUAGUUUUUUAAAACUCUCAGAUGAUUCUAAUAUAUAGGCAAGAUUGAGAACCACUACAUUAGACCAAAUAGCAUAAGGAAAUGAGCACUUGAUCAUAAACUUGAUCUAUAUUCUAGUCCCAGCUCUACCAUGAAUUUGAGACAUGACCUACAUAGUAGGUUACCUAAUCUCUUGAGUGCUUAGUUCUUUUCACAAAAUUAGAGUGAGAGAAUCAGACAAGAUGAUUCAACAAAUGUUUUCUUUUUAAAGGUACAUCAGACACAUCUUAACAUGCCUUAUAAGAUCCCCUGUCUUCUGCACUGUUUUGGACCAGGUCUGCCACUCAGCUUUCCUCCCUUCACUGUAGCCCUACUGAACCUGUUUUAGCUCCUUAACCCCCUGCAAUGUCUUCAUUACUUCCUAGUCUUCAUAUAUUGUAGCCUCUCAUUAGGAAAUACUCCUGGACCCUCUUCCUCACUCGACCAGUCAACAGCAUCUGUCUAACCACAUACUCUUUUGUCUUAAGGCUGUUCUUCUUAGGGCCAUAGAUGUUUGCCCACAAAAACUGAGUCAACAUGAUUCCUUGUUCAUAUCCACUCUGGUUCUUUCCAGAAACCUUAAAGAAGCCUCUUCCUCAUGUUACCUUAUAUUGGCUAAGACAGGCCAGUUUGUGAAUCAAUCUGUCAAGGAAGGAUGGAAUUACUAUGACCAACUUAUAUUGAUCAUCUGCAGUGAAGUAGAUGUUAGUGAGUCAGUAAAAAUGCCUACCAAAAGAGUUAUGAAAUAUUUAUUUAAUGAAUGUCUGAAUGAGCUGAACUAGGAUGUACAGAGAAUACAAAAAUGAAUACCUCAGAUUUUCUGCCUUUGAGGUGUUUGCAGUCCUGUGGAGGUGUUAAAAAUGUGAACAGUUUACAGGACAAAUGGUAAGUUCUAUAAUGAAGCAAGAAGAAAGUAUUCUGAACACAGAGGAAAGAGCAGCUAAGGUAUCAGAAGAAAGAAGGAUAGUUGCUCAGAGAAACAGGCAUUUGAGCUGGCACAUAAGGUCUCUUUUUUCUGAUUCUACUCCACCAAACAUUUGGCCAACUCCAAGAUAUAUAAAUAAGACAGGUUAAAGACUUCCAUUUUCCAAAUAUUCAAUAUAGAAAACAUAAUAUCAAUAAAGUAAAUUUGCUGAGUCUCAGGAAAAUAAUUUCUCAUGUUUAAUAACCCAAUUAUGUCAUUAUAUGUUUUCCUGUGUUUUUCCCCAUAAUACUGUUCUAUAUCGAUCAACUAUUAAAACACACUAAUACAGUAAACCUUUAUGUGCUGAUAGUGCUUGAGUCAGCAGUUGAAGUCCUGUGGCUUCUAUUAAAUAUUAGCUAUAAAGAAGAACAUCAUGGUGACUUUUCAAUGAAGGGCAGAAAAAAAUUCAGAGUUAAGAGAGUAAGAAGAAUGUAUGAACACUUAGAACAGUCUGUAAAUUGUGCUUCCCUCAGGAAAAGGGGCCAUUGACUAUUGCAGCAAUAGUUACCAAACUUGCUCUAAAUCAAAAUUAUCUGAGAGAUUUUUAAAACAUGUAUCCCUUGGCUCCUCACCCCCAGGUGAAUCAAAUCUGUAGGAUAAAACUGAGGAGUCCUUUAAAAAGACAGAAGAUGCACAUUGAUGGAUCCUUGCAUAAUACAUUAAUGUAACUACAUAAUAAAGAGUACUCAGAAAUAGAAGUUAAAAGAUUUGUGUUCUACCACCAGGUUCUGCUCUAAUUAGAAAGCUGCCCGCAAGUAUGCCAAGUAAUUCCAAUAACUUAACCUCUUUCAAUCUAUUAUCCUCCUGAUAUGACUCAUAAAGUCAUUUUCAGAAUGAAAGGCAAUCAUAGAUGAGAAGACACUUUAAAAGAUUUUAAAAUGUGAACCUAAAAUAUCAUUAACACAUACUAGAGGAGAUGAGAUAGAACACAGACCCUUCUAAGUAAUGCUUUACAAGGAAUUCUGGCAGCCAUAAUUCCCCUCGAUGGCUAAACCUGUCAUAAGAAGAGUCUUUUGAGGGAUGACUGCGAGGUUAAUUUUGAGGCAGAAUAUGGUAAAAAGUUUUUAUCCAUAAUACUUCCCAUUCCCGACAAUUAUUGCUUCUGAAAGGUCACUUUUGAAAGGUCAGGAAAUGGAAAUACAUGCAUCAGAACAGACUGAAAACAGAGAAUCUCCUUUCCCAUAAAUUCUACAAAUGAGUACUUCAAGGUCCCAAUGAGAAAAGACCUUUAAACUCCUUCUGCCUCCUACAUCAGGAUAAUAACUGUGGAAAGGAGGAGAAGUACAGAUCUUAUUUUAAAGAGACAAUGGUGCCUGUAGGGACAAGGAGAAGAAUAGUGUUAUACUUUCCCACAAAUGCUUGAUAAUUUCAGCAGGAAAGCAUGUUAUCUAAUUAUAAUAUAGAUGAAGGGCCAGCUUUCAGAACAUUUGAGAAGCAAAGGUGUAUUCAUAUCCUCCCUCUCUUCUUUCCUAUCUGUUUUUCCCUUUAUGGAGACUCCAUGGGCACAGAGUGACACUGGGUUACCCCAGCUGCCCACAGCAACAUAUUGUGAUGUACAUAGAGCACCACCCAUUCUUCUCCAGCUUACUCAAUCCCCUUGCUAUCAUACUCAGCAAGACAGAAAGCAAAAUAAACUAAAACAGACAACAAACAAACAAAUAAACAGUAUUGGCCCAGCUAGAGUGUUACAAUCUGUUUGCGAUUGAGAAAAAGGGAUAUGAAGAGCCAGUGUGGGAAAUGUAUGGGGGACACAUCAGGUGGCAAGUGGAAGGUUUGGCUUUAGGUUAUGGUAGAAGAGGUUCAGUGUCGUGAGAGAAAAAGAGGAGCAUAUGUAUAGGAAGGAGGUUACAGUGAAAAUUCAGUAGUGGAGAGAUAAACUAGUUGUAUUAUGGUGGUUAUUUCCUCAAGAAAUUCAUGAGUUCACCACAGGGGAGUAGAAAAUGCAUAACUGAUAUUGGGGAGUUAAUGGAGAAGUAAGGUGUGAAAGCACUUCAGAGAUGGAAAGCAAACUUGUUAGGGAACUCUGAGGAGAUGGCUGGAUAGUUCUGAGGCCCCACUUGAGAUUUGUUGUCAUAGACUCAAAGUGAGAUCAAUUGGCAAAUGUAUGCCUCCGUAACUGCAGCCAUUUUCCAGGCUGAUUAGAAACAGUCUGCAGUGAGCAGAGAAUUUGUUUUGUCAGUCAAGUGAAAUGGAAGGAAAGAGCAACAAACAGCUACAGUCAAUUAUAAUGAUUGUGACAGACUUUGGAGAGCAGAAAAGUAGGAAGGAGGAACAACUGAAAACUAAAAAGUGUUGAGAUCAGUGAGUUCUUCAUGGAGUAAUAAAGUGUUCAAAUGGACCUAUUGGAGUAAGGGAGCUCCAAGGGGAAGGGGCAGUGAAGAAAUGAGUAAAUUAAAAUUGAGAUUUCAGAGGUGAUUAAGUUAUUAAGUCAUAUUUAACAAACUUUUAGAUCACAAUCCUCAGAAAGGAAUUUUACAUAGACAUUAAAUGUACAUACACAAGCGUUCACAAAACAAUACUUACACUUAAAUGCACUCUGAUACCUGAUAUGUUUAAUUCUGAUCCAUUCUUAUUUAAAAUGUUGUUGCUAAAUUAUUAAGACCCACUAAUAGGUCCCAAUCUGGAGCCUGAAAAACACUGGUCUGGAAUAAGUCCAUUGCGGGUAGCUCAAGUGGGAUAGAACAAAAGAACUAAGGAAGUCACGGACCUCAGAGGCCAGAGUGUUGAACUGACCAUUUUCACUGAUAUCGAAGUUGCCAAAAUAAUGAUAGAUGUAGUGGAAUAAAACAAUUAGCCACAUGUGAAAAUUUUACACUUGAUCUUAGCCAAAAGGCCAAGAAGUGAUGCAGAUGCGAAAGCUUUCUAAUGGUUAAUUGUUUCAAUAAAAAUAAUCUUCAUAAUAAAUGAAUGAGUUAAUUAAUUAUACAUUGCCCUUUAUCCACUUCUAAUCCUUUUUAAACAUUGGUAUGAGUAAAUACAUUAAAAUUAAUUAGUUAAUUAUUUUGAUGUUCAUUCAUUUAACAAAUGUUUGAGAUCCUUCUUUGGGGAAAAAUGACUUGAUUUCUGUAUUUCUAUUCUUAUGUACUUUGUAGUCUAGUGUGUGAUACAGACAUUGAACAAAUAAACAUAUUAAUAAAUACAGAGUUACAGCUUGCAAUAACAGCUCUCUGCUGUGAGAGAUAACA
rnacentral:lncRNA from 10 species